rnacentral:rRNA from 1 species
AUGGCUCCUACCGAGGCUGAGGAUGAUGUAGAGGAGGGAGAAGAGAAGAAGAGGGAAAGGAAGGCAGCCGGAGCUGCUUUCACGUGGAUUCAAAAUAACUUUGCGACGUGCCCUCCGGAUGCAACUGAUGAUGUGAUCCAGACACAUGCUCGUGUGUAUAUGUGGUACAUUGUGUCGAGGACUUUGUUUCCUGACUCCACUGGCAAGAAUGCUCCAUGGAUGUGGCUGAAGGCGUUGACCGUCUUCGAUAGCAAAUGGAGCUGGGGUUCAGCGACUCUUGCCUACUUGUACCGACAGGUAGUUGGUCUGUUUUGUGAUCAACUCAUUUAUUCAUUAGCAAUGCAAGCUUGCUGUCAAGUUAACAUUGUUUUUCUUUCAUAUGUAGCUGGAUGA